AGCGACAGAAGAAAGCACCGGCUAACUCCGUGCCAGCAGCCGCGGUAAUACGGAGGGUGCGAGCGUUAAUCGGAAUUACUGGGCGUAAAGCGCAUGCAGGUGGUUUGUUAAGUUCAGAUGUGAAAGACCCGGGGCGUCAACCUCGGAAUAGCAUUUGUAAACUAGGCAGACUAGAGUACUGUAGAGGGGGGUAGGAAUUUCAGGUGUAGCGGUGAAAUAGCGUAGAGAUCUGAAGGAAUACCGGUGGCGAAGGCGGCCCCCUCGGACAGAUACUGACACUCAGAUGCGAAAGCGUGGGGAGCAAACAGGAUUAGAUCCCUGGUAG
rnacentral:rRNA from 1 species